AUAGCAAGCUAGCAACGAAAGAUGUUAUAUUUGUCUAUUCAAUUAGCCAGAUUCGAAGUGAGAACUUUAUGCCAAGCUAUUAGAACUUCAUUCAUUUGUGCUAUAUGGGCAGUAGUUAAUAAAAAAAAAUUUCUUUCAAUUUUGGUGGUUGGAGUUUGAGAUUAGGUGGUGGGUGUGUCCGCGCGGUUGUGAGUUGCAGUUGUCCCCCUGG
rnacentral:lncRNA from 1 species